rnacentral:rRNA from 1 species
AAAAAUUACCUAAGGGAUAACAGCGUUAUAAUUUUUGAGAGUUCUUAUCGAUAAAAUUGAUUGCGACCUCGAUGUUGAAUUAAAAAUUCUUUAUGGGGCAGUACUUGAAUAAGAUAGUCUGUUCGACUAUGAAAAUUUUACAUGAUUUGAGUUCAAAUCGGUGUGAGCCAGGUUGGUUUCUAUCUUUUAUAUCAGUAAAUUCUUUUUAGUACGAAAGGAUCGU